rnacentral:rRNA from 1 species
GCUCUGUAAUUGGAAUGAUGGGAAUGUAAAACCCUUCCAGAGUAACAAUUGGAGGGCAAGUCUGGUGCCAGCAGCCGCGGUAAUUCCAGCUCCAAUAGUGUAUAUUAGAGUUGUUGCAGUUAAAAAGCUCGUAGUUGGAUUUCUGCUGUGGUCAUCCGGUACCGCCCGUAUGGGUGCGCACCUGGUUUGGCUGCGGCUUUCUUCCUGUAGCCGUCCGCGCUUAAUUGCGUGUGCUGUGUUACGGAACUUUUACUUUGAGAAAAAUAGAGUGUUUCAAGCAGGCUUGUCGCCCUGAAUACUUCAGCAUGGAAUAAUAGGAUAGGACCUUGGUCCUAUUUUGUUGGUUUCUAGGACCAAGGUAAUGAUUAAUAGGGACAGUUGGGGGCAU